ACAUUUAACUAAUAUAUUAAUAAAUAAUAUCAUAAUUUAAAAAAUCUUGAUAAAUUAUCAUUAAAUUUUAAAUUAUUAAUUUUUAUAUAGAACUUGGUUGAGUCAUACUGAUAUCAUAAAAUAUAUUAUUAUAUAUAUAUAUUCUUAGUAUUACUUAUUUAAUGACAUGAACGUAUGCUAAUAAGUUAAAUAAACUAUUUUUAUAUAUUAAUAAUAUAAAUUAUAGUUUGAUGGUUAAGAGCUUGCCAUUCAAACAAG
rnacentral:lncRNA from 1 species